rnacentral:rRNA from 1 species
GUAAGGAAUAUUGGACAAUGGGGGCAACCCUGAUCCAGCCAUGCCGCGUGAAGGAUUAAGGCCCUAUGGGUCGUAAACUUCUUUUACAGGAGACAAAACCCCUCUACGUGUAGAGGGCUGAUGGUACUCUGAGAAUAAGGGUCGGCUAACUUCGUGCCAGCAGCCGCGGUAAUACGAAGGACCCGAGCGUUAUCCGGAUUUAUUGGGUUUAAAGGGUGCGUAGGCGGACAUGCAAGUCAGUGGUGAAAUCUCCCCGCUCAACGGGGAAACUGCCAUUGAAACUAUGUGUCUUGAGUACAUUUGAGGCGGGCGGAAUGUGUCAUGUAGAGGUGAAAUUCUUAGAUAUGACACAGAACACCAAUUGCGAAGGCAGCUCGCUAAACUGUAACUGACGCUGAGGCACGAAAGUGUGGGUAGCAAACAGGAUUAGAUACCCGGGUAGUCC